AGCCGCUUCUUCCGGGCACGACACCAUUCCCAGGAUGGAAAGCUUACGUCCAUUGCCUUUCCAGGGAUGUGAUUGAAGGUAAAUACUGUAUACCAGAAUGCAUCAAUACCAACCAGCCGGCAAUGAUGACCCCCCCAAGCGGCUCUCCCGGCUCACCCCCCAAAAGGAAAGAAUUAAAGGUGGCACAAAAAAAGUCAAAGCCUUCCUGUUCUGAAAACGCCUCUCGAAGAGCUCCGUCUAGAAUACAACAACUCUGUUGCAGCC